CUGGCUCAGGAUGAACGCUAGCGGCAGGCCUAACACAUGCAAGUCGAGGGGCAGCGGGGAUAAGCUUGCUUAUCCGCCGGCGACCGGCGCACGGGUGCGCAACGCGUAUAGAAUCUGCCCUGUACUGGGGAAUAGCCCAGAGAAAUUUGGAUUAAUGCCCCAUGGUAUGUUUAAGCGGCAUCGCUU
rnacentral:rRNA from 1 species